rnacentral:rRNA from 1 species
AGGAAUAUUGGUCAAUGGGCGAGAGCCUGAACCAGCCAAGUAGCGUGAAGGAUGACUGCCCUAUGGGUUGUAAACUUCUUUUAUAAAGGAAUAAAGUCGGGUAUGUAUACCCGUUUGCAUGUACUUUAUGAAUAAGGAUCGGCUAACUCCGUGCCAGCAGCCGCGGUAAUACGGAGGAUCCGAGCGUUAUCCGGAUUUAUUGGGUUUAAAGGGAGCGUAGAUGGAUGUUUAAGUCAGUUGUGAAAGUUUGCGGCUCAACCGUAAAAUUGCAGUUGAUACUGGAUAUCUUGAGUGCAGUUGAGGCAGGCGGAAUUCGUGGUGUAGCGGUGAAAUGCUUAGAUAUCACGAAGAACUCCGAUUGCGAAGGCAGCCUGCUAAGCUGCAACUGACAUUGAGGCUCGAAAGUGUGGGUAUCAAACAGGAUUAGAUACCCUGGUAGUCCACACGGUAAACGAUGAAUACUCGCUGUUUGCGAUAUACUGCAAGCGGCCAAGCGAAAGCGUUAAGUAUUCCACCUGGGGAGUACGCCGGCAACGGUGAAACUCAAAGGAAUUGACGGGGGCCCGCACAAGCGGAGGAACAUGUGGUUUAAUUCGAUGAUACGCGAGGAACCUUACCCGGGCUUAAAUUGCAGAUGAAUUACGGUGAAAGCCGUAAGCCGCAAGGCAUCUGUGAAGGUGCUGCAUGGUUGUCGUCAGCUCGUGCCGUGAGGUGUCGGCUUAAGUGCCAUAACGAGCGCAACCCUUGUUGUCAGUUACUAACAGGUUCCGCUGAGGACUCUGGACAGACUGCCAUUGUAAGAUGUGAGGAAGGUGGGGAUGACGUCAAAUCAGCACGGCCCUUACGUCCGGGGCUACACACGUGUUACAAUGGGGGGUACAGAGGGCCGCUACCACGCGAGUGGAUGCCAAUCCCGAAAACCUCUCUCAGUUCGGACUGGAGUCUGCAACCCGACUCCACGAAGCUGGAUUCGCUAGUAAUCGCGCAUCAGCCACGGCGCGGUGAAUACGUUCCCG